rnacentral:misc_RNA from 1 species
AGUCUUCUUACUUUCACCACCCUGUAAGUAGCAUUCAGUUUUCCCUCCAAUAUUUGAAUUGUUUUUGCUGGAACAUUUUUCCAAUUGAAUUAAAUGACUUUACGGAAUGAGGGCUCCUUUUUGUUAGUGCUACAGAUGACUUUUUUAUUGUGGCAGUUGACAGCUUGAGUAAAUGGCAUUAGUUUAUGGGUUUUGAACCAAGUUAGUUUAUUACAGAAGUAGCCCUAGCAGAUCAAUGUGCCAAUGUUAUUCAUUAAAUCAGAACUUGUAUAGCUCUAUUGCAAAUUAACAUAUAUGUUCUAUGAGGGGGAUAAUUGGUUGGUUAGUUGUAACACUGUCUUCCUGAAUCAUUGGUUGUCCAAGGCAGAAGUUUAUUCCUUUAUUGGCCGGUAAAUGUUCCAUGGAAUCUGCAAAUUGGUGUUUUGUAACAUUCAAUAGUUGAAUGUGGAAACUUAAUGAUUUGUGUUUGAAUUUUGAAUUGAGGGUGGCAUUUACUUUGGAA